CCUGUUGGCUGGUUUACUCCCCCGUAGUGGUGCAAUGGCCAGGAGCGGACCAAGCUGAAGGCAGGAGCUGGGGAGUCAGAGCAGGCCUGCCAUGGGCUGCCAGGGAUCCAGUGCUGGAGCCGUCACCUGAUGCCUGCCAGGAGGACACACAUUCCCAGGAAGCUGGAGGACUGCAACCCAGGUGCUCUGAUGUGGAGUGUGGGAGUCCAUGGAGAUGGUUUGCUGAAGGUGCCGGAAGCAGUGCCACGUGAGCUGAUCGCAUGCUGCCUUCACAUCCCUUGCAGGAGUGUCGUGUGCCUGCUGCUGCGGGUGUGCAGAUGUGAUGUCCUCGGGAAAAGUGUGGCUUGUUAAGUCCAGGCGAAUCUAAGGUCAGUGACUGGGCACGAGUCUGCAUCACUGUGCCAGGCAGCUACACCAUGGGUGCUGAGGUGUCAGCCUUGGAGCCAUACUGUUGGAGGAAGUCCCUGGCUGUGGAGUCUGUGUCCUUGGGGUGCCCAAAUUUCUGAUUUCACUAUGGUGAAUUGAUGCCAAGUGCUGGGACCCCAUAGCCUGUGGCUAAGCCAGUUCACAUUGAUGCAGGUGGAAACCCCAAAGGAUUAGUCUUUCACUGGUCCUUUGUUUUACAUCUCUUGGUGGUGUUUGUGGAUAACUGAGGGACAGAUGAACAGAGGCCAACACAAGAAAUAUCACCAGAGUUGCUACUUGCUGCCGGCUCAGUGCUGCCUGAAACUGUUGUUUGCAUGAGAAUCGUCUCCAGACCUAGAGCAAGAGAUUCCUGGGCCAGAUCAUGGGUUCACUCAGGCUCUUCCUGUUGGGUACACACACUGCGACUUAGAAAGGGAAAUGGGACAUUGAUUUGUGUGUUUCAGGACUGGGACGUGAACAGUUGCUACUUGGUUUAUGUUUAUGGCAAAGAGAGUGUGUCCCUCAGCUGGGAGCCCAGAACACAACUCAAGUCACCCAUGUGGGUGGCAGGAAGCUAACUGCUUAAGCCAUCACCACUGCAUCCCAGGGACUCGUUAGCGGGAAACUGGAACCAACAACCAGAGCCUGGGAUCCAAACCAGGCAGUGUUGCAGAACCCCGGAACUCAAAAUCUGCUCACAGGAUCCCAGGAGGUGCUUGCAAGGCAUGAAGCAAGAGCUGGGCAACCACUGCCCAACUCCCAGGCUAGCUCCAGGGAGAGGGGGUGAAGGUUCUUCAAAAUGAAGUUGGGGUUCAGAAGUAUGCAUUCAACUCCAACGUAGGUUUUUUGUUUUUACUUUUGUUGUUGUUGUUACUGUCCUUAAUGACACUGCAAUAAAGUCGCAGGGUUGAUGUUUUUGUAAAUUGAGACUUGGUUGCCAACCUG